rnacentral:rRNA from 1 species
UACGUAGGGUCCGAGCGUUGUUCGGAAUUACUGGGCGUAAAGAGCUCGUAGGUGGUUUGUCGCGUUGUUCGUGAAAACUCACAGCUUAACUGUGGGCGUGCGGGCGAUACGGGCAGACUUGAGUACUGCAGGGGAGACUGGAAUUCCUGGUGUAGCGGUGGAAUGCGCAGAUAUCAGGAGGAACACCGGUGGCGAAGGCGGGUCUCUGGGCAGUAACUGACGCUGAGGAGCGAAAGCGUGGGGAGCGAACAGG